rnacentral:rRNA from 1 species
CUAACUACGUGCCAGCAGCCGCGGUAAGACGUAGGACGCAAGCGUUAUCCGGAUUUACUGGGCGUAAAGCGUCUGUAGGCGGUUGGGUAAGUUGGGCGUGAAAGCUCCGUGCUCAACGCGGAGAGGUCGUUCAAUACUGCCGAACUAGAGGACAUCAGAGGAGCAUGGAAUUUCCGGUGUAGCGGUAAAAUGCGCAGAUAUCGGAAGGAACACCAGUGGCGAAGGCGGUGCUCUGGGGUGUGCCUGACGCUGAGAGACGAAAGCUAGGGGAGCGAACAGGAUUAGAGACCCUGGUAGUCCUAGCCCUAAACGAUGGAUGCUAGAUGUGGGGCCGAGAAGGCUCCGUGUCGCAGUUAACGCGGUAAGCAUCCCGCCUGGGGAUUACGGCCGCAAGGCUAAAACUCAAACGAAUUGACGGGGCCCCGCACAAGCAGCGGAGCGUGUGGUUUAAUUCGAUGCUACACGAAGAACCUUACCUGGGUUUGACAUGUAAGUGGUAGUGAAGCGAAAGCGGAGCGACCCUUCGGGGAGCUUACACAGGUGCUGCAUGGCUGUCGUCAGCUCGUGCCGUGAGGUGUCGGGUUAAGUCCCGUAACGAGCGCAACCCUUGCCCUUAGUUACAAGUGUCUAAGGGGACUGCCGGCGGUAAGCCGGAGGAAGGUGGGGAUGACGUCAAGUCAGCAUAGCCCUUAUAUCCAGGGCUACACACACGCUACAAUGGUCAGUACAAAGGGCAGCGAAGCCGCGAGGUGAAGCGAAUCCCACCAAAGCUGAUCUAAGUUCGGAUUGCAGGCUGCAACUCGCCUGCAUGAAGC